ACACACACACACACACACGGGGAGGGAAACCUAAAAUUUUACCCUCAGAAUAGGUAUACCAAUAUUUGUAUGUGCUUCCAAUUAGUAAUUUUUCAAAUGUGCUAUUUCCAAUCUUCAUCUGCUAACCGUUUCAUGAGCAGACUGUACUUCCCAUCCCCCUCUGGGCUUAUGUGAUAUCUUUCUGUCCUGUUCCAUUUCUUGGCUGGCUUCUCUUUUUCUGCCAGCCCCCUAAAUUAUGGUGUUUCCAAGCAUUCUAUCUUCAACCCUCUUAUUUUCUCAUUUUAUAUGCUCUUUAUCUUUGGGUGCUUUCAUCCACGCCCAAAGCCCCAGAUAUCACUACAGAUGGUCCUCUACUUAACAAGCAUUCUACUUACAAUUUUCCAGUUAUGUAGUAGUACAAAAGCAACAAGGAUUCAGUGGAAAUUUUGAGUGUUGGUCUUUUACUGGGCUAGCACUAUGCUGUGUAAUACUUGUUGAGCAAUGGCAGACAUCCUCAUGUCCUAGGCAGCCACAAGAUCACCAGGUGAAACAGCCCACACUCUGCAAUGUACCAGCUGCUAAACUAUAACUUUCCCUAGGAUAGGUAUAUCAAAUGCAUUUUAGGAUACAGUAUUUCCACUUGUGAUGGGUUUGUGAAGGUCAGACCUCUUAUAAGUUGAGAAACAUCUAUAUUUGGUGAUGGUUUAAAACUAAAAUUCUGAGCUACAGUCAUAUUACCUUCUAGGUGCCCGUGAGAUGCAUAUAUAUGUAAGUAUGUACGUACAUACAUACAUACAUACAUACUCCAAAUUCAGGUCAAUGCUCACACAAGGAAAACACAGACAGGGUCUCCCUAUGUCACUCAGGCUGCCUUGAAGUCAAGGUCCUCCUCAAUCAGCCUCACAAAUUCUGGGAUUACAGUCUAAAAGUAAACUCAUAACAUCUUUCCCUACAAACUCAGAUUUGUCAUUUUAUCAAGAGUUAGAAAUCUGGGAAAUAUCACAGCUCCCUACCCCACACACACAGCUUUUCUGAGCCCUUGGGGCUUCCCUAGACAUAGGUACUGCUUGCAAUUUUCCAGACCCUUAAACUCAUAAAACCUAGGAUGAAUAGUACCAUGUUCUUAUGCCCUUGAUGAAAUGUCACUACUCAUCAUAGAUAUAAAUAUGACUCAGAACAUCCACAUGGUACUGAUACAUAGUCACGAAAUAUUUCUUGGCUCUUUGAUGAUAUACAACACACACACACACACACACACACACACACACACACACACACACACACUAAUCUCUGCAGAAAAUUAAUCAAUAUAGCAAAAUACAAUGCUUUUGACAGUCUUUGAGAAAAGUCUCAUUUGCUGAAUGAUAUUAAAAUAUUUUCUCAGGGAUUGAAUUUUUCAUUUCAUCUGCAGAAUGGAUGUCCUGCAGAAUCUUCCAGGGUAUAUUGAUAGUGUUUUCUUUCUCCUCAGGCAAGUUAAGUAAAGACAUUGGUUAUUUAAACACAGUGUGGGUAGAUUUCUCUGAGUAGAUCUUGACUAAGGGGGAAAGAUUGAAAAUACACUGAGAGUUCCUUUUUAAAUGAAUGGGCUUUUAAUUUAUCUUGCUGAUAAGUGAGAUGCUUUAACAAAGUAAUCAUUCAAUUAGCAAAUAUUUGCUGGGUACCCAGAAUGUGUCUCAGCACUGGCUGCAUAGCAAUGAACCAAAGGAAUGAAAACCACUGUUGUAUGCGACUUUUUUUUUUUUUUUUACAGACUAGUCGGUUACUGUGUUCAUUUCCAUUGUAGCAUCUCAGUAAUGGCAGGGUCAUGGCCUGUAGUUAUUAUAGCAUCCCUUAGAAUUGUACAUCAUAGCUCUAAGAAGGUACAAUAUAUGGCAUGUUAACUUGGGUAAGUAUAAGUACAUUUGAGAUGAAGCCAGCGACCCUCAGCAGACUGUCAGCUAAUGCUCCAGUUCUGUCCACAGAGUCACUGGUACCACUUCUGUGCUGGCCACUGGGGUUCUCCUCCGAGGUUCUAAAAUUUGGGAUGUGGGAAGGGCAUAAGAUGAGGGUUUCACACUUGACAGAGAACAUAAUCAAUGUAAAGGUAAGUCCUGCACUGCAAAAACCUUCCAGUGAAGUCCAAAAUGAAUAAAGACAGCUGGGUUAAAGGUUAAAUUCUAGCAAAGACAACGGAACUGCAGUGAUGUACUAAACCUAUAAUGGAGUUCUGUGAAACUUCUAAGACAUUGACAAAAUUCUUGAGCAUGUUUGCUCAUUGCUUCUAUUUCACUAGAAACAGAAACAAAGCUUAGUUUGUUACAAAAUCAUCAAAAUCAUGAGUUUACAUUGGGUAAUAUAUUGUCCAAUGCUUAGUAAUAAAUAUUCUGAUGAGUAAAAGGGAAACAUAACUCUAAAAUUUCCAAGAUAGUCUCCCUUCCCCUCACCCCCUCACCCCCCAUCUCUCUGUGUCUGCCUCUGUCUCUCUAGGUUAGGUCUUUCUCUGCCUCUCUCGGUGUCUCUAUCCCCCCUCUCCCUGCCCUCUCUCCUGUGUGUGAUGAGUGUUCUUGUCCAAAGAGAAGGCUUUCAACUUUAGAAAGCUGUCAUAGGAUGUUUUUUGGAAUCACUUCCCAAGUGAUUGUGAGCUCAACUGCUACCUUCAAAGCCAAGUGAGAUAGUGUCCAUAGCUUUAUCUUGAUGCUCAUUAGAAAGGACUGCUGUAAUGCCUUUGGGGAUUAAGGAGAGAAAUUUCAAAUGUGCAACCUAAAGUCAGCAAAGUAGAGCUCAGCGGGUGAAGUGCUCGCUGUGAAAGCCUGGGGGACCAGGGGCCAUAACCUCAGCACUCAUCUACAGGCCGGAUGGGGAGUUACAUGCCUAUAAUCCCAGCUAUCUCAAGGCAGAGGCAAGCAGAGUUCUAAGCUCCAGGCUAGCCUGGUCUACAUAGCAAGUUCCAGGCCAGCCAGGGUUACACAGUAAGACCCUGUCGCUAAACAAACAAACAAAUAAGUAAAUAUGAGGUCACAUCCUGAGUACUGGCAGAUUUCAACAUGUAAUGGGGUGGGGUGAGACUUAACCCAUAACACAACAUACCAGUUGUUGAUGAAGUGCUGGAGCUGAGGAACAAGUUGGGACGGAUCCACCCAGAGUCCAAGGCCCCGAAUCUUCUGGGAGUUGACAGAAAGUGUUAGGAAGACAUAGAAUGUGGCAAGAGGUGGGCAGAGCUAGCUCAAGGAAUCUAGAUUUUAUUCUGUGAGCAGUGGGAAUUGUGAGGGGGUCUAUGUGGGAUACACCUAUGGUUUCAAAAAUCAUGCUGCAAAUUUCCCAAUCGCCUCUUCAGCAUCAAAGAAAUGCAAAGAUUUCUCAACGUGCUGGCCUUUUGGAGGAAUUUGUAACUGUUCCCUCAUCACAGCUCAGUCCAUGACCCGAGGGAUUUACUGAAACAUGCUGUUCUCCUGUCAGUGUUUCAAUCCUGUUUUAUAAGUUCUUAAGUCAAAAUACUCAUUUCCAGCUAGCUUCCUCUGAUUGCCUUCUCCACGGGUAAAUGAAUUUAUUUAGUCACUUUUACACCACAUACCCAAAGUAACCUUAUCUUGUGAGGGUGUGGGGGACAGAUCUCAGGCAUACACUUUUUCCUCAGAUUUUUGGGUGAAAAGUGAUGAUUUUUAGAGAUUGUGUCAUCAUUAAAAAAAUCAACAUUCAUUACAGAAUUGUAGUGGUUCUGGGAUGUGUUUUGAUUUCUAACAUUUUUCAGAUAUUUUUUCCAUGAAAAAUCCUUUUGUAAUAGUUAUUAUAAUUUUUAAGUUUUAUUGACAUGUGUGGAACUUCAUGACUUAACAUCUGUUUGUUUUUGAACUUCAAUCUAGGGUACCUGGCUUUAAACUCCACUCUUUAUGUCUGUUUUUGAAACUGGGUCUGGAGAAGACCACACUGACCUUAAAUCUGUUAUGUAGCCUCUACCUCCAGAGUUCUGGAGUUACAGGUGCAUGCUCCCAUGGCCUGUUGGCUCCCCUCUUUUCUAACUAAAUAGGUUUACUUUUUACCUGUUUGCUAUAUUGAAGUUCUGGGCUGGAGAAGAGAAUCUGUUGGUUGAAAAGCAGAAAGAAGAUGUUAUGAUAGAUAAGAGUCAUUAUCCAUGAAACAUCCUGGUGUAUUCUUUUUCCUGACUGAGAAACUGGAGCAAUCUUAUCACUUGCCCUGUCAUCUUUAACAGCACCUGCAUCAGAUCACAUAAACACUUGUUCAUAUGUGGAUCUUUGUUUAUUGUGAACCUCAGUGUGACAGUGGACACGAUUCAUGACACACAUUGAAGGAAAUCUCACCACCUAUCACUGACAACUGGAGACCCUGGGAAUUGAACACCAGGCCCAAGAUGGUGGUGGAAAUAAGCCCAAGUGUGAAGGCCUGAGGACCUAACAAGAUGAUUGUGUGAAUGCAAGCCUCAGUCUGAAAGCCCAACGACUAGGAAUGCUGUGUCCUAAGCUGGAUGAAGAAGUUGAAUUUACCAUUUUCCUUUAUGUUUUAUUCAAAAUUUCCCUCAACACAUAGGAUGAGUCUCCCACAUCCCUGAGGCAGAUCAUCUUCAUUCUGUCUACCAGCUCAAGAGCUAGUCCUUGAGCAGAGGGCAAAAAUAAGAACAAAAUAUACUGACAUAUAUAUAUGAAAAUGUCAUAAUGAAACACAUUACUUUCUGUAUAGCCUUUUUUAUUUAAAAAAAAAAAAAGCCAAUACUCAACCAGCAUUAGUCACCAGAAACACUGUCAGACAUACCCAAAAAUAAUGUACUUCAAACAAUCUUGGCACCUGUACCUCUGUGAAGUUGAUGUAUGAUCCUGACCAUUGUACACACAUGAAUACAUGGAAUCAAUAACAAAACUUAAGCACA